rnacentral:rRNA from 1 species
UAGCGUAUAUUAAAGUUGUUGCGGUAAAAAAGCUCGUAGUUGGAUUUCUGUCGAGGAGCACCGGUCCGAACCAUGUUCGCGUAUCUGGUUGCGCCUUGGCAUCCUCUCGGGAGUUGUUUCUGCGCUUGACUGCGUGGAGCAAAUUUCGGGACUUUUACUUUGAGGAAAUUAGAGUGUUCACGGCAGGCUAUCGCCCGAAUACAUUAGCAUGGAAUAAUACUAUAGGAUCUCGGUUCUAUUUUGUUGGUUUCUAGGAUUGAGAUAAUGAUUAAUAGGGACGAUUGGGGGCAUUCGUAUCGGCGAGUC